GAAGGCAAUCAGAGCCUCUUGGCCUGUAUCUUGGUAGAGGGUGGUGGAGCUGUUGGUCUGUGUGCAGGAUAGUGAGUUUUUAUCUCAUUCGGAUUGACCCAAGUGCUGCCAGCUGCGAAUCUCCCAGUGUUCCUUUUUAACCACGAACCAGACUGAGCAAGGCAGAGGACGAGCUCCGGGGAGUAUAUGUGGGGUCUGCACCGUGGCUUGCAUUGUGUUCAUCACAGGGUGCUCACUUGGUGGUUUAUAGUGGGGUGUACGAUAUAAUCUACCCGGCGAGGCAAGCAACCAGGAGAACACACCGUGCUGGAGGACCGUGCGCCGAUGUCCACAAGCAAGUGAUAGUGCUGGUUGGUGCCAUUGGCAAGCCUCAAAGCCAGGGGGGCCUUCUCAAGAGACAGAGGCCCACCCAUCAAUUCACCCGGAGCCAGCAACAGCAGUGGCCCCCAGCCAGGUUGUGGCAGAAGAAGCAUGACAGACAGGAGAGCAAACACGGAAUACCCAGCCACCGGCACACCUAGAGGCCACAUGUGCAUUUGGCUCCAGCCAGGGCAUCCAGGAAGGAGAGUGAGUGAGAGGUUCAGCAUCACAUGAGAGUGUGGUGACCCCUAGCCAGGUUCCAGGGGAAAGAUGCAGUCUAAGGGGGCAAGAGCCAGUGCAGGGGAUUCUCCCGUGUCGACAGAGGAGGCCACCGGCCUGGACUAGAGACUAUGACAUGUGCUGACUUGAGGACAAGUCAAGUUUAAGUGAGGGAGGAGUGUAGUGAAUGACGUUACUAGGGACUCAGUGCGUUGCUAGGGAAGAGUGUGUUGGCACUGAGGGUGAUUAGCCAAGUGAUUGCAGCUGUGAGUGUGGAGUGUGGCAGGUAAGAGUGAAAAGAGGGAGAGAGUGGCGGCAGUUCUCUCUGGGGAGCGGAGCUUGGUGAGCCCAGCCAAGCAGUGUUUGUUGUGCGCUCGAUCUCAGGGGGAGGGUGUCGUUCUCAUGCUGUUUAGGGCUACCAGCGUAGAGGCUCUCCUGCAGCCUGUGGAGUCGCCUCGCUGCCCUGGACUGGCUGGUUCCCCCACCACAGUUACUCCCAGUGGCCGUCCCGCACCAAAGCUCAGACCCCAGGGGAGGGUCUCAAACCUUGGGAAAGAUAAGUAGCUUUUUAACCAUCAUUUAUCUGUGUGUUUAAGUGUUUUCUUGUGUGUGUUAUUGUUAGUGGUUUUAACUAGGGCAGCAUUUCACUCUUAGGGAGAGCCGAGCGAGCCGCAAGCGUACCCACAGGUGCCUAAGGGAGCCCUUAGCCCAAAGUGUGAUUUGAUGUGUUUUGUAGUGCAAUAUGGUGUGAGUUGCAGUGUGUUUAUCAAGUUGCAGUACAGUGACAGUUUUGCAGUGCCUUAUGGGGUUCGUUGGCUUGUGCCCUUACACAUGCAUGUUGCUGGUCCAGGGGUGGUUCUGAGGAGAAGCCUAGGGUUCAUUCAGGAUCUCAUCUACUAGUGGAGGUGUUCCUUAAAUGAAUUUAAUUCUGUGAAAUAAAGAUUGAUUAUUGUUUGACUUAC